GCUGUGGCUCAAUGAUAGAGCAGCUGCUUAAAAUGCAGAUGGUCCCAGGCUCAAUUCUCCAGCAUCUCCA
rnacentral:tRNA from 1 species